rnacentral:lncRNA from 1 species
GUACUUUAACAAAAAUAAUGAACUGCUAUAUCAUAUCAACAUUUGCCAUACAUAUUUAUAAAAAUAGCAAUAUUUAUUUUAGCAUGAGAUAUUUAUGCAUGUCUGUUUUGCUUGUAUGUCAUAUGUUUGUUGCACUCGCAGCCACUAGAUGGCGCUCUGACACUAGUUAAAUGCCAGGUGUAGUUAAUGAGGCAUUAGAUACAGGCGCAAUCGGAGAAAAGGUCCUUCAGUUAUCCCUGAUUCUCAGAGGUAUGUCGGGGUGAGCUGGUCAAGUGGACUGUUAUCUCGCAUGGCCCUGUACAAACCCGUAUGACCGUCUGCCUGCACUCUGACCCGGGGGAGCAUGAGGAUAAACAGAUGCGUGAGCCUUCAUCACUCUCCCUCCACCACCACCAUCAUCAUCAUCAUCAUUUACCUUGAAGGGGGUGAGGAGGAGGUGCGCCAGAACACAUCAGACGCUCCUCUGCGGGUGGAAAGGGAGAGAAGAGGUGACUUGCCGAUUUUCUCAGAUCAGCAGCGCUGAUGACUUCUCUCAGGGGGAGCUGACCCAAUUCGCCUGGGUGUUUAUCACCGGCACAACAAGGUCACGGCUGACAAAGCAGCGCUAGUGUGGUCUCUUUAUGCUGUGGGGUGGGAUGGGAAGGCCCAGGGCGGUUGAGGAGCUGUUUAACUGCUCUCUGCGUUCAACUGUUAUUACACAGAUUUUAGAAAAGAACAAGAUGAUUUUUUAAAUAAAAAAAUCUGUUUAAAUCUG